UCUAAAUUCAAUCCUUUGAUUUAGUUUCAUUUUGAUGAAAGUAAUUAGCCUAAAAGAUCAGUAGAGUUAAUAUAUGGUCUUGUAGAUGAAAUUAUGAUAGAUUAAGUAUUUAAGAUCAAAAGUGUUGGAAUUGUUUGUAGUAAGUGAAAUGGACAGGUUUCAGUUCUUUGAACAUGUGUAUACUUGUGGUAAUAAAAGGGUUUGAUAAUGAAAAGAUUUGGUUUGCGGAAAAAGGUCGAAAAAUGAGUUUUAUUGUCGAUCAGGUCAUGCCUCGCACCGCAAGUAUCUGUACAGUUUGACAUUUUUCAUAUUUUGAUAACUUGAACACUUGAACCUUGAUUACAUGGAUUAGCACUGAGUCUACAUUUUAAUGACAAUGUCAAUGACAUUAGAAACUAAAGUCAAAUAAAAUGGACGUUUAAAUCACAUUCUUGGUCGUGGCAUUCUAGGGUUGAUAGCUAAGUAGUUGUACGUAGGAUACUUGUCGUCGUGAGAUUUGAUCCUCACCAUUGGUACAUAUAUCGUAGGUUUGGAUAAGCGUGCAGACUAAAUUGCCCAUUCACAAAUCUGCUCAUCCUUUUAACUCGUCAAUCUCUAAGGUAACCAACAGUAAGUCUUGGAUCAUCUUGGCAUUUUAGGGCCAUUCUUUUGACUUUGGACGUACAAUUAGCAUCAGACAUAUGAGAACUAUCAUCUUAUUAGUUCUAAUCGUACUAGACUGUCCAAAUAUUUAUCUUGUAUUCAGUGGGCCAAAUUCCAUAUAUGGAUGACUUGUAUCCGUAUUCUGGGGUUCACAUUUGAACGAUUGUACUUGUAUUAGACUUGUAUUUGGUAUUAAAUGGAUGUAAUUUCUAUUA